rnacentral:rRNA from 1 species
GAUGAACGCUGGCGGCGUGCCUAAUACAUGCCAGUCGAGCGAACAGACGAGGAGCUUGCUCCUCUGACGUUAGCGGCGGACGGGUGAGUAACACGUGGAUAACCUACCUAUAAGACUGGGAUAACUUCGGGAAACCGGUGCUAAUACCGGAUAAUAUAUUGAACCGCAUGGUUCAAUAGUGAAAGACGGUUUUGCUGUCACUUAUAGAUGGAUCCGCGCCGCAUUAGCUAGUUGGUAAGGUAACGGCUUACCAAGGCAACGAUGCGUAGCCGACCUGAGAGGGUGAUCGGCCACACUGGAACUGAGACACGGUCCAGACUCCUACGGGAGGCAGCAGUAGGGAAUCGUCCGCAAUGGGCGAAAGCUUGACGGAGCAACGCCGCGUGAGUGAUGAAGGUCUUCGGAUCGUAAAACUCUGUUAUUAGGGAAGAACAAAUGUGUAAGUAACUAUGCACGUCUUGACGGUACCUAAUCAGAAAGCCACGGCUAACUACGUG